AUUGAACGCUGGCGGCAGGCCUAACACAUGCAAGUCGAACGAGUGGCGGACGGGUGAGUAAUGUCUGGGAAACUGCCUGAUGGAGGGGGAUAACUACUGGAAACGGUAGCUAAUACCGCAUACCCUCAGAUGUGCCCAGAUGGGAUUAGCUUGUUGGUGGGGUAACGGCUCACCAAGGCGACGAUCCCUAGCUGGUCUGUGAGGAUGACCAGCCACACUGGACGUGAGACACGGUCCAGACUCCUACGGGAGGCAGCAGGGGGGAAUAUUGAACAAGGGGCGAAAGCCUGAUGCAGCCAUGCCGGGUGUAUGAAGAAGGCCUUCGGGUUGUAAAGUACUUUCAGCGGGGAGACGUUACCCGCAGAAGAGGCACCGGCUAACUCCGGGCCAGCAGCGCGGUAAUAC
rnacentral:rRNA from 1 species